GACGAACGCUGGCGGCGUGCCUAAUACAUGCAAGUAGAACGCACAGUUUAUACCGUAGCUUGCUACACCAUAAACUGUGAGUUGCGAACGGGUGAGUAACGCGUAGGUAACCUGCCUGGUAGCGGGGGAUAACUAUUGGAAACGAUAUCUAAUACCGCAUAAUAUUGAUUAUUGCAUGAUAAUUGAUUGAAAGAUGCUAUUGCAUCACUACCAGAUGGACCUGCGUUGUAUUAGCUAGUAGGUGAGGUAACGGCUCACCUAGGCGACGAUACAUAGCCGACCUGAGAGGGUGAUCGGCCACACUGGGACUGAGACACGGCCCAGACUCCUACGGGAGGCAGCAGUAGGGAAUCUUCGGCAAUGGACGAAAGUCUGACCGAGCAACGCCGCGUGAGUGAAGAAGGUUUUCGGAUCGUAAAGCUCUGUUGUAAGAGAAGAACGGGUGUGAGAGUGGAAAGUUCACACUGUGACGGUAUCUUAACAGAAAGGGACGGCUAACUACGUG
rnacentral:rRNA from 1 species